rnacentral:lncRNA from 1 species
AAUCCCCGGUCCGAACCAACUAAUGUCGGACAAUUAAAAUACUUUAAAAACCUCAGAUUUCAAACAUACUAUUGUGUAAAUCUCCGGUAUAACUGAAUGAAAAUAUUACUUCCUUAUUUUACUCAUUCAUAAACUAGCGUAAAUAUUUACCACAGAUUUCAAACAGACUAUUGUGUAAAAACACUCAACCGAUAAAAAUCAAUCGGUUUUCUAUACAGUAAAAAAAAUAUACCGAUAUCGCUUUUGUGUUAUAAUAAUAACAGUACGUGACAUUUUCUGAAAUGAUAAUGAAUUCAGUUUUAUAAAUAACUGGCACAUUUUUGGAAAACUGUAAUACUGGUUUUCUGUUUACUAAUACUAGAACAUUCGUUGUUGCUAUAGUGUUAAGUCACGUAAAACUUUGUAGCAGUUUAGUAUUUGGCGUAAAUGAAUAAGGAUUUAAAGAUUAAAAAUGAGUUUUGAAGAGUUCUUUAAAGAUAUUGAUUGUCUAACUGUGGCUUUGAGAGAGAAAUACCCUAACGACUCUGAUGUGCAGAAAUGGAAUGAAAUAUACUGCAAAAGAUACUAUGAUCUUCUCAUUCAACAUAUUUGGAAUCCAGACGAAUUUCAAAUACUUCAAGAAGAGAACACUAGAUUAAAACAAGAAUUACAGACUUUAAAACAAAGUACUUCUAAAACAAUGACGUCGUCCGUAUCAAAACAAACGAAAUAUGAUAAAAUUAGAAAAAAUAUUCAACAAUCAUAUUCAGAAGAAAGAAGGUUAACUUGCGACUGUGAUUACUCUGGAGAACCAACGAUUGAUUUAUGUAUUAAAGCUUUGGGAACGUAUGACAAAUUGAUCAGCUCGGAUAAACGGAAAGGAUUCAUGGAUAUACUAAAAAACCAUGGUUUCGUUUAUUCAUUAUCACAUUGCAAAUUUUUAAUACGUUUAUAUGAUUUUGCAAUGACUCAUAAUAAAAUAUUACAUUGUGCUUUAUCUAUUGAGUAUAUUUGUCAAAAUUUUACAAUCAUUAAGAAAAUCUUUCAAGAAUUGACUUGGUGAAUACAAAUAAGUCACUCAACCGUAGGAUUAUAUUAUAAUCACAUGCACGAAUGAACAUCAUAAUAUUACGUUUUCUUGAAAUCAUUCAACCGUAGGAUUAUAUUAUAAUCACAUGCACGAAUGAACAUCA